rnacentral:rRNA from 1 species
GACGAACGCUGGCGGCGUGCUUAACACAUGCAAGUCGAGCGGUAAGGCCCUUUCGGGGGUACACGAGCGGCGAACGGGUGAGUAACACGUGGGUGACCUGCCCUUAGCUCUGGGAUAAGCCUGGGAAACUGGGUCUAAUACCGGAUAUGACUCCAUGACGCAUGUUGUGGGGUGGAAAGCCUUGUGCGGCUAGGGAUGGGCCCGCGGCCUAUCAGCUUGUUGGUGGGGUGAUGGCCUACCAAGGCGACGACGGGUAGCCGGCCUGAGAGGGCGACCGGCCACACUGGGACUGAGACACGGCCCAGACUCCUACGGGAGGCAGUAGUGGGGAAUCUUGCGCAAUGGGCGAAAGCCUGACGCAGCGACGCCGCGUGAGGGAUGACGGCCU